rfam:Myotis brandtii contig185012, whole genome shotgun sequence.
GCCCGUGUGGCUCAGUUGGUUGGGUGUCAUCCUGUGCACCAGGAGGUCGCCAGUUUGAUUCUGGUCAAGGGCA